UUUAGUUUAAGGGCAAUAUUUUCUCAUGUCUGUGCCUGAAGCGGUUCGCGCCCCAUGUUGUCUGUGUCGGAAGUGGCUUUCGUCCGCAAUAACAUGUUGUUCGCGGUACUUCUAUGUGCCCUUUGGUCUCAAUAUAGCACUUCUAAACGCGGUACAUCUGGUGAGGAGCAGCUUUCAUCCGUGUAUGGCGGCGACACCUCUAGUCGUCAUGCAUCUAUUUGCGAGGGGCUUUCAUCCUAGUAUGGUAGUGACGUUGUGGCACUUGUAAACGCCGACUUCUGCCUCGCCGACUUACUACUGAUUUCCAUACACAGCAUUGAUUUUCGAACGUUAAAUUGCUAACUCUUAAAUUUUUUUUUUCAAUUGUCGUAUUAAAAAUACGGGGAUGUGGGUGAAUAUUCACAUUCCAAUACAUUAAAAAAUAAUUUAUUACGCCUUUCAUAAAUAAGAUUUGAAAUGUGUAGAACGACCG
rnacentral:lncRNA from 1 species